UACGGAGGGGGCUAGCGUUGUUCGGAAUUACUGGGCGUAAAGCGCGCGUAGGCGGUCCUGCAAGUCGGGGGUGAAAGCCCGAGGCUCAACCUCGGAACUGCCUUCGAUACUGUGGGACUCGAGUCCGGGAGAGGUGAGUGGAAUUCCUAGUGUAGAGGUGAAAUUCGUAGAUAUUAGGAAGAACACCAGUGGCGAAGGCGACUCACUGGCCCGGUACUGACGCUGAGGCGCGAAAGCGUGGGGAGCAAACAGG
rnacentral:rRNA from 1 species